GAACGCACCUUGCGCCCUCUGGUAUUCCGGAGGGCAUGCCUGUUUGAGUGUCAUGUAGACUCAAUCCCUCGGGUUUCCGAGGAGAUUGGACUUGGGUGUUGCCGCUCUGCCGGCUCGCCUUAAAAGACUUAGCGGGAUAGCACCGUAGUCGGCGUAAUAAGUUUCGUCGGUGAAGGUUGUGAUGACUGCUUGCAAUCGCCCUCGGGCAAUUUUUGACUCUGACCUCAAAUCAGGUAGGACUACCCGCUGAACUUA
rnacentral:misc_RNA from 1 species